rnacentral:rRNA from 1 species
UAGGGGAAUCUUCCACAAUGGACGAAAGUCUGAUGGAGCAACGCCGCGUGAGUGAAGAAGGGUUUCGGCUCGUAAAGCUCUGUUGGUAGUGAAGAAAGAUAGAGGUAGUAACUGGCCUUUAUUUGACGGUAAUUACUUAGAAAGUCACGGCUAACUACGUGCC